rnacentral:lncRNA from 10 species
GUGGGCUGAGUCCGAAAAGAGAGUCAGCGAAGGGAGAUAGGGGUGGGGCCGUUUUAUAGGAUUUGGGAAGGUAAUGGAAAAUUAGUCAAAGGGGGUUGUUCUCUGGUGGGCAGGGGUGGGGGGUCACAAGGUGCUCAGUGGGGGAGCUUCUGAGCCAGGAGAAGGAAAUUCGCAGGGUUAAUCACUCAGUUAAGGUGGGGCAGGAACAAAUCACAAUAGUGGAAUGUCAUCAGUUAAGGCGGGGCAGGGCCUUUUCACUUCUUUUGUGAUUCUUCAGUUACUUCAGGCCAUCUGGGCGUAUACGUGCAAGUCACAGGGGAUGCGAUGGCUUGGCUUGGGCUCAGAGGCCUGACAUUCCUGCCUUCUUAUAUUAAUAAGAAAAAUAAAACAAAAUAGUGUUGAAGUGUUGAGGCGGCAAAAAUUUUUGGGGGUGUUAUGGAGAGAGAAUGGGUGAUGUUUCUCAGAGCUGCUUCAAGUGGGAUUAGGGGCGGCGUGGGAACCUAGAGUGGGAGAGAUUAAGCUGAAGGGAGGUCUUGUGGUAAGGGGUGAUAUUGUGGGGAUGUAAGAAGAAACAUUUGUCAUAUAGAAUGAUUGGUGAUGGCCUGGAUACGGUUUUGUAUGAAUUGAAAAACUAAAUGGAAUAUGAGAAGGCGAAAAACAGGUAUAAAAGGACUAAGAAUUGGGAGGACCUAGGCCAUCUAAUUAGAGAGUGCCUAAGGAGAUUCAGCAUAGUCCUGCCGGCAAAGAUUAUUUAUUUACUUCAAGAGUUUAGAGUGGCAGUUUGGGGAUAGCACUAGGAGAUAUCACCUGUGAUGUCUUGGAGAAAGAGUGUAAACCGGCAGUGUAAACAAGAGCAGGGCAUGUGUGAGUAGUUGAGAACAGUGAAUAGGAGUAUGACUAACAGAUGAGGAUGAAAUUUGGGCUUGACUGAAGUAAUGGGGGCUGUCUGUGAAGCCUUGCAGCAGUACAGCCCAGGUAAUUUGCUGAGCCUAAUGGGUGUCAGGGUCAGUCUAAGUGAAGGCAAAGAGAGGCUGGGAUGAAGGGUGCAAGGAAUAGUAAAGAAAGCAUGUUUGAGAUCCAGAACAGAAUAAUGGGUAGUAGAGGGAGGUAUUGAGGAUAGGAGAGUCUAUGGGUUUGGCACCACGGGGUGGAUAGGCAAAACAAUUUGGUUGAUAAGGCGCAGAUUCUGAACUAACUUGUAAGGCUUGUCUGGUUUUAGGACAGGUAAAAUGGGGGAAUGGUAAGGAGAGUUUAUAAGCUUUAAAAGGCCACGCUGUAGCAGGCGAGUGAUAACAGGUUUUAAUCUUUUUAAAGCGUGCUGUGGGAUGGGAUAUUGGCGUUGAGCGGGGUAAGGGUGAUUAGGUUUUAAUGGGAUGGUAAGGGGCAUGUGAUCGGUUGCCAGGGAAGGAGUAGAGAUGUCCCAUACUUGCGGGUUAAGGUGGGGGGAUAUGAGAGGAAGACGCGAAGGAGGCUUUGGGUUGGGGAGAAGGGCGGCAAUGAGAUGUGGCUGUAGUCCAGGAAUAGUCAGGGAAGCAGAUAACUUAGUUAAAGUGUCUCAGCCUAAUAAGGGAACUGGGCAGGUGGGGAUAACGAAAAAGGAGUGCUUAAAAGAGUAUUGUCUAAGUUGGCACCAGAGUUGGGGAGUUUUAAGAGGUUUAGAAGCCUGGCUGUUAAUACCCACAACAGUUAUGGAGGCAAGGGAAACAGGCCCUUGAAAAGAAGGUAAUGUGGAGUGGGUAGCCUCCGUAUUGAUUAAGAAGGGGACGGGCUUACCUUCCACUGUGAGAGUUACCCGAAGCUCGGCGUCCAUGAUGGUCUAGGGGGCUUCCGAGGCGAUCGGGCAGUGUCAGUCUUCAGCCGCUAAGCCAAGAAGAUCUGGGAAGGAGUCAGAGAGCCUUGGGCCAGAGUUCCAGGGUCUCUGAGAGUGGCUGCCAGGCGCUGCGGAACUCAGCCCGCGGACGAUUCCCGGGAGGAAGGGCCUUAUUUCGAUCUGUGAGUGAGAGCAACGCGGCAUGACAGUGUCUGCUCGACGUGCAGGGAAAUCUUACCCGAGCCACUUUGGCAGGGCCCAGGCCUCGGUGCGGCGGUGCUGAAGCAGAAGUCUCCGCUUUAAGUGUGAAACUCGGAGGGCAGAGCAGAG